rfam:Cucumis melo, WGS project CAJI01000000 data, contig: 29057
ACUGAUGUAUUUAACGAGUCUAUAACCUUAGCCAACAGGCCCGGGUAAUCCUUGAAAUUUCAUCGUGAUGGGGAUAAAUCAUUGCAAUUGUUGGUCUUCAAU